GGGCCCGCACAAGCGGUGGAGCAUGUGGUUUAAUUCGAUGAUACGCGAGGAACCUUACCAGGGCUUAAAUGUAGUGGGACAGGUCUAGAGAUAGACCCUUCUUCGGACUCAUUACAAGGUGCUGCAUGGUUGUCGUCAGCUCGUGCCGUGAGGUGUCAGGUUAAGUCCUAUAACGAGCGCAACCCCUAUCGUUAGUUGCCAGCGGGUAAUGCCGGGAACUCUAGCGAAACUGCCGGUGCAAACCGAGAGGAAGGUGGGGAUGACGUCAAAUCAUCACGGCCCUUACGUCCUGGCUACACACGUGCUACAAUGGCCGGUACAAAGGGCAGCGAAGCCGCAAGGUGGAGCG
rnacentral:rRNA from 1 species